AUUGAACGCUGGCGGCAUGCCUUACACAUGCAAGUCGAACGGCAGCACGGGAGCAAUCCUGGUGGCGAGUGGCGAACGGGUGAGUAAUAUAUCGGAACGUGCCCAGUCGUGGGGGAUAACGCAGCGAAAGCUGUGCUAAUACCGCAUACGAUCUAUGGAUGAAGGCGGGGGAUCGCAAGACCUCGCGCGAUUGGAGCGGCCGAUAUCAGAUUAGCUAGUUGGUGGGGUAAGAGCCCACCAAGGCGACGAUCUGUAGCUGGUCUGAGAGGACGGCCAGACACAGUGGAAACUAGCGACCGUCCAGUAUCCUACGGGAGGCGGCAGUGGGGAAUUUGUGACACUGGGUGGAAGCCUGAUCCAGCGAUGCCGCGUGCAGGAUGAAGGCCUUCGGGUUGUAAACUGCUGUUGUACGGAACGACACGGCUCUUUCUAAUAAAGAGGGCUAAUGACGGUACCGUAAGAAUAAGCACCGGCUAACUACGUGCCGGCCGCCGCGGUAA
rnacentral:rRNA from 1 species